CCUUAUAAUAUCAACCAUAGUCAUCAUUGCUAUGUGCAUUCAGCUUUUAGCUUGUUCUGUGACUCCGUACGUGUGCAUGGGUUUAUAAGCACACACACAUAUAUUCCAUAGUGGUGGGCCUGUUAAACUGGACAGUGAUUUCUCUACUACCAAAACAAGUAUAAUAACAUGCAUGUAGUGAUGAUAGCUAAGGUGUUUGGGGAUGGGGAUGCAUAAUAUCUUAUAAAUGUGAAGUUUUUAUCAGGCAGAGCAGAUUACUUUAAGCGUUCAAUUUCUCGGCGAUCCAAUUUUAUUAGGAUUUACUAUCAUUUGUGCUGAGCAUCCCUGGGGAAAUAAUGCUUUGAUUAAUGUAAUCCUGGGCUGGGAUCCGCCACAUGCCCCUCUCCCAAGAGAAAGGCCCUGUUUGACAAACAAAAACAGAGCAGCAACUAUUGCAAUCUGCACUCACCUUUAGAAAGCACAGACACACACACACACACACACACACACACACACACACACACACACACACACGUAAAAUAUAACCACCUCCUCCCCCUACCCCAAAGACAAUAGUGGCAUUUCAAAACAAUGUGCACUCUUAUUCAUUUGCACACAGCGCCUCUGAUUCAGUGUGGGCUGUACAGUCCAGCCCUCAUCUGCACCGAGCCAGCCCAAAAAGGCUCCUGCUCUGUUCCCCACUGAGAAGCUGAAGCAUCCCUGGGAAGCUCAAUGCCUCUCUGUAUUUCAGGCUCUCCUUGGUCUCCCAACGUCUCUGCCUCUUUGUUUCCCACUGCAGGCCUUGCUGCAAACCGAUUUCAAGUCUGCUCGUUCAAUCCACCAGAGCUAGGGGCCCAAGAAGCUUUGUCACUGCGAGCGGCUCGGUGGCCCGUACCUGCAGGCACCUGCUUCUCGACCAGGGGCCCCAUUUAUUACAGAACCCGAAAGGCUUUGUUAUGCUCAACGCAAUAAAUAAGGUUGAGAGGGAAGCCUUCAUAAUAAAAGGUAUGGAUAAAUGAUCA
rnacentral:lncRNA from 1 species